rnacentral:rRNA from 1 species
GUGGGAAUAUUGGACAAUGGGCGAAAGCCUGAUCCAGCCAUGCCGCGUGUGUGAAGAAGGUCUUCGGAUUGUAAAGCACUUUAAGUUGGGAGGAAGGGCAGUAAGUUAAUACCUUGCUGUUUUGACGUUACCGACAGAAUAAGCACCGGCUAACUUCGUGCCAGCAGCCGCGGUAAUACGAAGGGUGCAAGCGUUAAUCGGAAUUACUGGGCGUACAGCGCGCGUAGGUGGUUUUGUAAGUUGGAGGUGAAAUCCCCGGGCUCAACCUGGGAACUGCCUCCAAAACUGCAUGACUAGAGUACGGUAGAGGGUAGUGGAAUUUCCUGUGUAGCGGUGAAAUGCGUAGAUAUAGGAAGGAACACCAGUGGCGAAGGCGACUACCUGGACUGAUACUGACACUGAGGUGCGAAAGCGUGGGGAGCAAACAGGAUUAGAAACCCCGGUAGUCC